AGGAGACCCGUGCGAUCUCUCUCCCACCCUCCUCCAGGCUCUACCCACUGGUCAGAACCUCUUUUCACAGCCAGUGAUUGCAGAAGACCAAACAACGACUGGUAGACGAAAGGGAAGCUCCAAUCUCUCUCUCCUAAACUAUCUUCCACCAACCUGAAAACAAUCUUCUUCAGAUUCCAUCGAAAUUUCGGAGUUGUACAGUCCCCACCUCGCCAAUGUCGUCCGAUUCCAGUUCUUCUGUGUCGACCGGCGAUCCCACUGAUGAAAACCCUAAUCCCAAUCCUGACCCUUUCUGCAAUCCAAAUCCCAGCUCCGAUUUCAUAGACAAGUCCCUCGACGCCGUUGAAGACCAGUUGGCUUCGAUUGCAUUGUCCGACUCCGGCGGCGUUGUCAAUGGCGAGACGUCUUCAAGCGGUGAGGCAUUAGGCCGCAUCGUGAAUGGGUCGUUGGAUGCGGACAGCCAUGGAGAAAGAAGAGGCGGGCAGAUUGAGAAAGAGGUUCGGAGCAGUUCGGUGCCGGCGGCGGACGAGGUUGCGGAGGUUCGAGAGGGUUCUUCUCGCGGUCCCUUGUGGGGGAACAAUUCGGAGUUGGAAGUAGACUGCGCGUCCAGCCCUAGCAGUAGCGGUUACGCCGGCGAAAGAGGAACCAGUAGUGCCACAAGCGCGUCUGGAAUUGAUGAGAUUGGGGAGGAUAAUGAAAUUCGGGAACUGCGAGAUGGAGAUUCUACUGGAGUUUCGGAUUCGCACGCCUCUUGGGUUCCUGGGAAACGGCAUGUCGAUGAGGAUGAUGCUUCUCUCUCAUGGAGGAAAAGGAAAAAGCACUUCUUUAUUUUGAGUCACUCUGGCAAACCUAUAUAUUCCAGGUAUGGAGAUGAGCACAAGCUAGCAGGAUUUUCAGCAACAUUGCAGGCCAUUAUCUCCUUUGUGGAGAAUAGGGGAGAUCGUGUCAAAUUAGUAAGGGCAGGAAAGCACCAGGUGGUUUUUCUUGUGAAGGGACCCAUUUACUUAGUUUGCAUUAGCUGUACAGAAGAACCGUAUGAAUCACUAAGGGGUCAAUUGGAACUUAUUUAUGGGCAGAUGCUAGUUAUUCUAACAAGGUCAGUAAAUAGAUGUUUCGAGAAGAAUCCGAAAUUUGACAUGACACCUUUGCUUGGAGGAACAGAUGUCGUCUUUUCUUCUCUCAUCCACUCCUUCAGCUGGAACCCAGCAACAUUUCUUCAUGCAUACACUUGCCUACCUCUUUCUUAUGCAACAAGGCAAGCUGCAGGGGCAAUCCUGCAGGACGUUGCUGAUUCUGGUGUGCUGUUUGCAAUAUUAAUGUCUAAACACAAGGUUGUCAGUCUUGUUGGUGCACAAAAAGCGUCUCUUCAUCCUGAUGAUAUGUUGCUGCUUGCCAACUUUGUUAUGUCGUCUGAAUCAUUUAGGACAUCUGAAUCUUUCUCACCAAUUUGCUUGCCAAGAUAUAAUCCCAUGGCAUUUCUGUAUGCAUAUGUUCAUUACCUUGAUGUUGACACAUAUUUAAUGUUGCUGACUACUAGUUCAGAUGCCUUCUAUCACCUUAAAGAUUGCAGGAUUCGAAUUGAAAUGGUCCUUUUGAAGUCAAAUGUUCUGAGUGAAGUUCAGAGAUCCAUGCUAGAUGGUGGAAUGCAUGUUGAAGAUUUGCCUGAUCCCUCUCCUCGUUCAGCAUCUUUAUCGUCUCAUUUAGGUCAGCAUAGACCUGCAACAGACUCUCCAGAAAGAUUUAAGGAAGUACUUCCUGGCAUUGGUGGUCCUGCUGGACUUUGGCAUUUCAUAUAUCGCAGCAUAUAUUUGGAUCAGUAUGUAUCCUCCGAGUUCUCAUCCCCUAUUAAUAGUCCCCGACAGCAGAAAAGAUUAUAUAGAGCUUACCAAAAGCUCUUUGCUUCCAUGCAUGAUGGAGGAUUUGGGCCUCACAAAACUCAGUUUAGGAGAGAUGAAAACUAUGUUCUACUCUGCUGGGCCACACAGGAUUUUGAACUUUAUGCAGCAUUUGAUCCUCUUGCAGACAAGGCUUCGGCAAUAAAAACUUGCAACCGGGUCUGUCAAUGGGUGAAAGAUGUGGAAAAUGAGAUUUUCUUGUUGGGAGCAAGCCCUUUUUCGUGGUGAUUUUGCCCUAAUUAUUAUGUAACACACCAUUGUAUUCUAGUUUUGUUUUUUUAUUUGUUUUUCUUGUUUUUUAUGUUUUUUCUCACUUUAAAUUGCUUCAAGAAAGCCUCGCCGUCCUACACAGCAAUCUAAUGCCAACUCGGAUGAGCCAGUGCUGUGACUCUAAUGCUUCAACUGGAUUUGGUAGUGACAAAAUGUUUAACUGUGAGCAUUGGAUGAUAUGUUUUUCCUUGAGAUUGACAGCCUCCAGAAAUUGACUAGUCAAAUGGUCUAUGGAAUUGUUAAGAGUUCUGGUUCGUCUCCAGCAAUCAAAGCUCUGGUUUUUGGUUGAAUUUAACAUUGUAUUCCAUGGAUGAAUCAGUUGUCCACCAUCCCGGCAUGGUGGACAAGUGAGGAGACAUAUGUAUAAAAAAUUUCUAUAGCCAUGCCGAGGUUGGGUGAAACGAUGGAGUGAUAUGUAGUGUCACUAGUUUGGACAAGUUCAGGUGGCAUUGGAGGUGCCAGAGGCUUGCAUGGUCAAUUAACUUAAGCAACGCAAAUAGAUUGUCGAACCUUUCAAUUAUUUC